rnacentral:rRNA from 1 species
GAUGAACGCUGGCGGCGUGCCUAAUACAUGCAAGUCGAGCGAACAGACGAGGAGCUUGCUCCUCUGACGUUAGCGGCGGACGGGUGAGUAACACGUGGAUAACCUACCUAUAAGACUGGGAUAACUUCGGGAAACCGGAGCUAAUACCGGAUAAUAUAUUGAACCGCAUGGUUCAAUAGUGAAAGACGGUUUUGCUGUCACUUAUAGAUGGAUCCGCGCCGCAUUAGCUAGUUGGUAAGGUAACGGCUUACCAAGGCAACGAUGCGUAGCCGACCUGAGAGGGUGAUCGGCCACACUGGAACUGAGACACGGUCCAGACUCCUACGGGAGGCAGCAGUAGGGAAUCGUCCGCAAUGGGCGAGAGCCUGACGGAGCAACGCCGCGCGAGUGAUGAAGGUCUUCGGAUCGUAAAACUCUGUUAUUAGGGAAGAACAAAUGUGUAAGUAACUAUGCACGUCUUGACGGUACCUAAUCAGAAAGCCACGGCUAACUACGUG